AACCAUGAUGAGGACAUCCAAUAAAAUUGGAAUAAUACAAAGUAGAUUAGCAUGGCCUCAACACAAGGAUGAUACACAAAAUGGAGAAAUGGUAUUAGAACUA